AACAUGCGCAGUGCUCCCCCAUAAUGAGACUGACUGGAACAUGCGCAGUGCUCCCCUAUGAUGAGACUCACUGCAACAUGCGCAGUGCUCCCCCAUAAUGAGACUGACUGGAACAUGCGCAGUGCUCCCCCAUAAUGAGACUCACUGGAACAUGCGCAGUGCUUCCCCAUAAUGAGACUCACUGGAACAUGCGCAGUGCUUCCCCAUAAUGAGACUCACUGGAACAUGCGCAGUGCUCCCCCAUGAGACUCACUGGAACAUGCGCAGUGCUCCCCCAUAAUGAGACUCACUGGAACAUGCGCAGUUCUCCCCCAUAAUGAGACUCACUGCAACAUGCGCAGUGCUUCCCCCAUAAUGAGACUCACUGGAACAUGCGCAGUGCUUCCCCCAUAAUGAGACUCACUGGAACAUGCGCAGUGCUUCCCCCAUAAUGAGACUCACUGGAACAUGCGCAGUGCUCCCCUAUAAUGAGACUCACUGGAACAUGCGCAGUGC